GUUGUUGCCUGUGUCACUUCCGGUGUAGAGGUCACAUCCCCGACAGUUGCUGUAGGCCGGUGGUGGCGGUGCUGGUGGUGGCUUCCUCCUGUCUUGUCUUGCUGUGUCCCUGGGAGCAGGUUUUUCUUCACUGAGAGUGUCUGCCACGUGUGCCUGGUGAUUUUUGUGGUGUUUUUCUAUGGUGGAUCCCUUUCUUGCCCUAGCCUUUAUCCAUUCACUUUGGCCUCAGCUCUGAUUAAGUUUUUUGCCCCCCCCCCUUUUUUUUGGUUGGUAUGAAUGAGUUUUAUUGAAGUUUUAGCAUUAACGUUUAAUAAAAUUUUUAUGUUAACUUGGAA